UAUCACAGAUGGAACAAUGAUAUGUAGAAGAAUCCCAUUUUUCUCAGCAGACAUUACAACAGCAAGAGUUAUCUGUAUAAGGUGGUGCUGUGUGGAGUGUGAGAGUGUGCUGAGCAUCGAUAGGGUGGUGUUCAAUCUCUAGUGGUUGUUCGGCGCAAGUUUUGUGAAGGAAGAAAUCACAAGGCUUGCAAAUGUAUGCAGGGCUAGCGGAGGUUGUUUUCCUGCACCCUAAACAGUUGCCUUCUUUUCCAUCCCCUUCUUCGCUCAGAGUUAAACUAUGUCCAUGGCUGAAAUGAUUAAAUUCCAUACUGUUGGAUAUUCUCACUCUGCAAUUUCUCUCUUUCAGUGGCAGCUACCAGGGGAAGGGACCAGGUUACAGCCCAUGAAAUAGUUGGGAAAAUACUUUGGAUUUGCCUCAAUAAAAGAAAAUCAGCAUAUAUGGAAACAGACAGAACAUUUAUUUUUUGAUAAACAUUCAUCUGGCCUUGCAAAUAACUGACACACUUCAGUUCAAAGAAAGUAGUCCUCUUUUAAAAGUUUGGUGCU
rnacentral:lncRNA from 1 species